rfam:Erinaceus europaeus unplaced genomic scaffold scaffold00048, whole genome shotgun sequence
GUGUUUGCUACAGCAGCACAUAUACUAAAAAUUGGAACGGUACAGAGAAGAUUAGCAAGGCCCCUAAACAAAGAUAACAUGCAAACUCAUGGUGUUCCAUAUUUUU